CUGGAAGGCUACUUACAAACACACUGGAGUUACGGAUCUGAUGGACUUUCUGCUCGUUUAUGUGCUAUCAUAUGAAAAUAUGCUUCUCUAGACAUGUUCACUGUGUGAAAUAAAGCAAACGAUUCUUAUAAAUGCCACAAAAUCAUCAGCCCUAUAGUGUGUGAUUUUUCCAUAUGUGGAGAUACAACACACCAAAACACACGUUUGUAACACUAGCAUCUAUACAAAGCUGGCAGCUUUCUCACACACACACACACACACACAGAUUUUGCAAAGUGAUAGUCAUCCCUAUUUGAUAGGGGUAGAGCUCAACUCCUUAAAAUCUCAGAAUAUUAUUCAGUUCUUUAUCUUAAAGCAUAUGAUUUAGUAAGUACUAGGAUUUCUUCAGUAACAACACUCAAACUAAUAGCAAAAUGUGUGUAGUUGCAAGAGAGAUGGCUCCUGGGAAUUUAACAGGUUAAGUUAAAAUGGUUCAGCCAAUCGGAAACUUGAUAAUAUAACAUCAACCAAUAACAGAUUACUUAAAUGUUAGCUAGCUUGUUAGGUAACUUGGCUAGUGUUAAUUACACAAUACAAUUCAUUCAUUCAUCUUCAUUAACAACUUUAUCCUGGUAAGGGUCAUGGUGGCUCUGGAGCCUAGGAACACUGGGAUGAGAUGGGAAUAUACACCGGAAACAACUUUACACUUGGGGCAAUUUAGCAUAAACAAUCCACGUACUGACAUGUUUUUGAGAGGUGGGAGAAAACUGGACAAGCAGAAAGACAUGCAGAGAACACGCAAAACUCCAUAAAGAGAGUAACCAGAGCUUGAGAACUGAGGACACACCAGCUUUGAAGUGGGAAUGCAACCCACUGCACCGCAGUAAUUCCUUACACAACAAGUUUACCUAAUGCUAACUGUCUGGCUAGCAAACUUGGCUACUUUUGAUGCAACAUUAGCUAGGUAUUUGGGUAACUUUAGAGGUAAUGUUAAUGUUAGCCAAGCUAAGCAGGGAUGGAUCAGUCCAGUACCAUGGUCUUUUAUUUGUACUGUUAAAAAAUGCUCCGGUACCAGCAGCUAAUACCUCAUGAUACUAUAUGACUAGUGUAAGCCUAGUGUACGUUGUCGCACUAAUUAACAAAAGACAGCAAUCUGAUGCAUCCCUAGAGCUAAUUAGUUUGCAGGCAAUGCUGGGUUAAACAUAGUCCAUCCAUCCAUCCAUUUUCUGUACCGCUUAUCGUAAAGGGGUCGUGGAGAAGCCUAUCCCAUGGAACUUGGAGCAUGAAGCGAAGGACACACUGGAUGGGGUGCCAACCCAUUGCAGGGAACAAUCACACACACAACACAGACAAUUUGGAAAUGCCAACCAGCCUACAAUUCAUGUCUUUGCACUAGGGGUGGAAACCGCACUAGCCGGAGGAAACCCCCGAAGCACAGGGAUUCGAGGCGGGAUUCCAGCCCCCAACCCUGAAGGUGCGAGGCAAAUCAGUUUUAAGUGAAACACUACCUACACCAAGCUGAAGGUACCAAGAAAAGAAAGACUAGUAGUGAUGUUACAUUAUUGUCUUCCAGACUGGCUGAACAAAUUUGUCACUCAGUAAAACCAGGACAUGCAAAACACUCAAGACAUUCAAAUCUGACCAAAAUAUUCACACCAGUUCAAAUGUUCUACUGUGAACGAAAACAUCAUAACAGCAAAUAUUGUGACGGGAAUAAAUAUAGUGACCGAUUUAAUGUGUGCAUGUGUGUGCGUUUGUGUUGAAAUCAGAAUUAUAUUGCUGAAAGUGGAAUGAGAAUGACACACACACAAACACACACAAAGCAUUCAGCCGUGACCAAAGAUUACACGCAGAUAACCAGCAUGGAUAACAAUGUGCGCAAACCAGCAUGAUAAAAAAAACACACACGCAUGUUCUCACAGAGCAAGUGUUUGCUAAAUAAACAGCCAACUGGCACUCCGUUCCAGCCGAGAUAAUGAGACGGUACCUCCGUCGGUGUGGUAUGUGCUCUCAAUUCUUAUAUCACUGCCAGACAGAUCAGUGAGAAUGAGGUUUUUCCCAGAUGUGAUCAGUGAUGCAAAGCUAAAGUUCAAAGUUUCUAUACAGGCAUAUACACAGACCAUCACUUUAGAGUCAAAACCUUUUUUGUCACAUAUUGCUGUCGGUCAGCGGUUGGAAUAAAAUAUAUAUACAGUUUGUGCUGCUUUUUGUUAUAUCCUGUGGGAAGAGAGUGCUCACUCUUUCUCUUUCCUAUCAUCUCCUGCCGAAAACAAACUGAAAUUGAACUUUAAAAUGCAGAACAAUAAAACACAGAUGGUAUUUAAAAGGACCUGUUAGAAAAAUGACGCUUCCAAGGUAUGUUUUGGGCAAGUUAUUUUGUUUCACAGAAAUAUAUGUUGAUUUCUAGAGAAAUAUGAAUUCCAAAGAAAAAAUAUUUCGCUUGCACAACAUAUGAAAGUAUUUCUCUGGAUUCUUAUAUAUUUAUGUGUGUGUGUGUGUGUAUGUAGUGGUCUGGGAAAACUCAGAUACAAAGAUCACACUGGGUAAGGAGACGCAGUGGUAAAAUCAGUUAGUCUGUUUAAAGAUGUCUAAAAGCCUUGCAAGCUAAGUGUGAUUUCCUCACACAGAGAAUGUCACAAUUUGGUAAAGUUGUUGGAUAGUUAUGCGCCAUAGUGAAAUCGAAAUAAACCUAAUCGCUUACAGUAAGCACGUAAUGAGAUAACAGCUGUAAGAAAUGUCUAUGUCCUUGUUGGAAUGAAACAUUAAAAAUUCUGUCACUUUACAUCUGCUUCAGAUUUAUGCCAAAAUAAAAAUAAAAAAAUAAAAUAAAUAAAAAAUAAGAGAGAGAAAAGAAACAAAGUCAGGUCAGAAACAUUGUUAAAACUAUAUAGAGUAGAAAAUGUGGAAAAUGUCACCAUGCAAAGGGUUUUCCCAGGCCGCCACAUAUAUUACAUGAAAAAAAUAUGGAAGCACAAUAACUAAACAUUAGUUCUUUCUACUGUAAGUGAUACAAGACAAUAUCUUUAAGAACAGAACUAAACGUCUGCAGCAACAUGGUUCGGAUCUCUUUCUUUAUCUUUAAAGGCAACCAGACAAAUUCAGGAACAUUCCUGAAAUUUCAAUAAUUACUGGCGUGAAGACAUUCCAGGGGGUCUUCUAAAGUGACUCAUGGGAUGCAGUAAACACUCAUGUUACUCCCACAGGAUCUCAAUCCAAUACCCAAUUUUUUUUUCCAUGUAGUACGCCUGGACUAAAUGUCAGGUUAUUUGGCAAAUUGUCCUAAUUGUAAACGGUUUCCGAAACUUGUUUCUACACUUUCAGCCUGUAAUGCACCACUCUGUGUGUAAGAAGUUACUGAGAAGACCAGCAGUCAAUACAGUUCCGGUAUUGUUUAUAAACAAUGAGCAGAUAAAGACUGAUUUUUAAGGAAUAAAACAUGGCAUGAUGGAGUGUGCUGUUACAGGAAAAUAAUCUAUAUCAAAUUUCCUAUAACAGCAUGUCCUGGAGUGUGUUAUUCCUCUUGUACCACAGCAAUUUGCCAAUGAUUACAAAUUUCUAAUUUAUUAUUGAACUUAUUAUUUUUAAUUUUAUGAUCACUUAUGUUGUAACAGAUAUAAAUAAUCGUUCCCUCGCCAGCCUUAUUAUUAUUUUUUAAAGCUCUCCCUUGAAAUUAAUAAGACAAAAAACUUCAGCAUGAAGACUUUCCUGUGGUAGAAAACUUACUGUUCCAAAGUGCUGACACUGGAGAAAACCUUUAUCAAAAAGUAUUCAUUUUUCUUGUUGUUAAUAUAUAUAUAUAUUUUAUUCCGUGCAUUAAAAUGAGAGAUGUGAGCUUUAUUUGCCUUGUUUUGUUUUGAGAUAUUAUGGAGUCUCAAAUCUCAUACUAUGUACUUGACAAGACCACAGGAACACCUACUGACUUCAAACCUCCAAAUGCUCCAUUAAUUUGCAUUGAUUUUCAAUAAUUUACACCAGAACACCCUCAGAUUUCUCCACUCUACUCUUGCUAUGUAAAGCAGGGUCUAACCAUUGAGUGCAAAGUUCCAGUAUUUUGCACCUCACCUUUCAGAGCAUCGAGUAUAUAUUAGAGGCAUUUAUAGUGCAUACAUUUUGCUGAAUUUCCCAGCCAGGGAAAUGUAAAAAUUGUUAGUGCACUACGUUUAUACUGUGCACACGUUGCUACUUGUUU
ensembl:lncRNA